CAACAGCAGGUCAGGUAUUCCAAAACUGUUUAAAAAACGUACAGCGGGCGCUGGACGACGGCGAAUUCUGACCAAUACUUAGAUUCGUCGAUGCGGCAUCUCCCCCAAGUGCCAGCAUCGGUAAAGACACCAAUGGAUAGCGUGUCUUUGUUUUACUCCUAAUGGUCUUAACCCGGAUUCACCCCCCAGAACCCGG
rnacentral:sRNA from 1 species